rnacentral:rRNA from 1 species
ACGAACGCUGGCGGCAGGCCUAACACAUGCAAGUCGAGCGCGUGUAGCAAUACACGAGCGGCGCACGGGUGAGUAACGCGUGGGAAUGUGCCCUUGGGUGCGGAACAACGUCGGGAAACUGACGCUAAUACCGCAUAAUAUCUACGGAUCAAAGAUUUAUCGCCCAAGGAUCAGCCCGCGUUGGAUUAGGUAGUUGGUGGGGUAAUGGCUCACCAAGCCUACGAUCCAUAGCUGGUCUUAGAGGAUGAUCAGCCACACUGGAACUGAGACACGGUCCAGACUCCUACGGGAGGCAGCAGUGAGGAAUCUUGGACAAUGGGGGAAACCCUGAUCCAGCCAUGCCGCGUGAGUGAUGAAGGCCUUCGGGUUGUAAAGCUCUUUCAGAUGUGAAGAUGAUGACGGUAGCAUCAGAAGAAGCUCCGGCUAACUCCGU